GACGAACGCUGGCGGCGUGCUUAACACAUGCAAGUCGAACGAAGAGCGAUGGAAGCUUGCUUCUAUCAAUCUUAGUGGCGAACGGGUGAGUAACGCGUAAUCAACCUGCCCUUCAGAGGGGGACAACAGUUGGAAACGACUGCUAAUGCCGCAUACGAUCUGACCUCGGCAUCGAGGAUAGAUGAAAGGUGGCCUCUAUUUAUAAGCUAUCACUGAAGGAGGGGAGUGCGUCUGAUUAGCUAGUUGGAGGGGUAACGGCCCACCAAGGCGAUGAUCAGUAGCCGGUCUGAGAGGAUGAACGGCCACAUUGGGACUGAGACACGGCCCAGACUCCUACGGGAGGCAGCAGUGGGGAAUCUUCCGCAAUGGACGAAAGUCUGACGGAGCAACGCCGCGUGAGUGAUGACGGCCUUCGGGUUGUAAAGCUCUGUUAAUCGGGACGAAAGGCCUUCUUGCGAAUAGUUAGAAGGAUUGACGGUACCGGAAUAGAAAGCCACGGCUAACUACGUG
rnacentral:rRNA from 1 species